GACGAACGCUGGCGGCGUGCUUAACACAUGCAAGUCGUACGGUAAGGCCCUUUCGGGGGUACACGAGUGGCGAACGGGGGAGUAACACGUGAGUAACCUGCCCACAACUUUGGGAUAACGCUAGGAAACUGGGGCCAAUUCUCGCAUUGUGCUCCUGCUGCAUGGUGGGGGUUGUUAAGCUCCGGCGCUUUUGGAUGGACUGGCGGCCUAUCAGCUUGUUGGUGGGGUAGUGGCCUACCAAGGCGGCGACGGGUAGCCGGCCUGAGAGGGUGACCGGCCACAUUGGGACCGAGGUGCGGCACAGAUGCCUACUGGAGGCAGCAGGGGGGAAGCCUGAUCCAGGGGCGCCAGCCGGGUGCAGAAACGCCGCGUGCGGGAUGACGGCCUUCGGGUUGUAAACCGCUUUCAGCAGGGACGAAGCUUUUUGUGACGGUACCUGCAGAAGAAGCACCGGCUAACUACGUG
rnacentral:rRNA from 1 species